CAAUUUAACAACGAAGAGUUUGAUCCUGGCUCAGGAUGAACGCUAGCGACAGGCUUAACACAUGCAAGUCGAGGGGCAGCGGGGGCAGCAAUGCCUGCCGGCGACCGGCGCAC
rnacentral:rRNA from 1 species